rnacentral:lncRNA from 1 species
UAAAAUAAUGUGAUUUCAUGUGCCGUUAGGGAUUCUUUUGCGUUUCGCUUCGUCGUGGCUGCUGUUGGCAGCAAGUUAGGGCUCAGGACAACUUCUGGACUGAUCGUCCAAGGCCCCAGACCCUUGCGAAGAUCGGAAAUGCAGUUCCGGUGCGUUUUUUUCGACGAAAUCCGCCGACGGAACGCGGGUUCGGUUCGGAAUUAUUCCGACGGUGCUUCGUGAGCUUUUGC